rnacentral:rRNA from 1 species
CUACGGGUUGCUCCAGUGGGGAAUAUUGCACAAUGGAGGAAACUCUGAUGCAGCAACGCCGCGUGGAGGAUGACACUUUUCGGAGCGUAAACUCCUUUUAUAUAGGAAGAAGAUGACGGUACUAUAUGAAUAAGCGCCGGCUAACUCCGUGCCAGCAGCCGCGGUAAUACGGAGGGCGCAAGCGUUACUCGGAAUCACUGGGCGUAAAGAGCGUGUAGGCGGAUUAAAAAGUCAGAAAGUGAAAUCCUAUAGCUUAACUAUAGAACUGCGUCUGAAACUCUUAAUCUAGAAUAUGGGAGAGGUAGAUGGAAUUUCUGGUGUAGGGGUAAAAUCCGUAGAGAUCAGAAGGAAUACCGAUUGCGAAGGCGAUCUACUAGAACAUUAUUGACGCUGAGACGCGAAAGCGUGGGGAGCAAACAGGAUUAGUUACCCUUGUAGUC